UACGUAGGGUGCGAGCGUUGUCCGGAAUUAUUGGGCGUAAAGGGCUCGUAGGCGGUUUGUCGCGUCGGGAGUGAAAUCCACUGGCUUAACUGGUGGCUUGCUUUCGAUACGGGCAGACUGGAGGUAUGCAGGGGAGAACGGAAUUCCGGGUGUAGUGGUGAAAUGCGUAGAGAUCCGGAGGAACCCCAGAGGCGAAGGCGGCGCCCUGGCUCGCAACUGACGCUCAGACACGACAGCAUGGGGAGCGAACGGG
rnacentral:rRNA from 1 species